rnacentral:rRNA from 1 species
GAUGAACGCUGGCGGCGUGCUUAACACAUGCAAGUCGAACGGAAAGGCUCCUGCUUGCAGGGGUACUCGAGUGGCGAACGGGUGAGUAACACGUGGGUGAUCUGCCCUGCACUUCGGGAUAAGCCUGGGAAACUGGGUCUAAUACCGGUUAGGACCACAUUUUGGAUGGUGUGGUGGAAAGUUUUUCGGUGUGGGAUGAGCUCGCGGCCUAUCAGCUUGUUGGUGGGGUAAUGGCCUACCAAGGCGUCGACGGGUAGCCAGCCUGAGAGGGUGUACGGCCAUAUUGGGACUGAGAUACGGCCCAGACUCCUACGGGAGGCAGCAGUGGGGAAUAUUGCACAAUGGGCGCAAGCCUGAUGCAGCGACGCCGCGUGGGGGAUGACGGCCUUCGGGUUGUAAACUCCUUUCGCUAGGGACGAAGCGCAAGUGACGGUACCUGGAGAAGAAGCACCGGCUAACUACGUG